CAAAGUACUUACGAGUUCGAACAAUGAUCAUGACCGUCCUUGAUAAUCAAAUGGCAGAUACCGAGAUAAGUCGAUUGAAGGUUGAUUGAACUUGACAGUCUAAUGUAAACUGAGAUAGAUCAUACUGACAAUAUCAAGUGCCGUAAAGUUCACGUGAUGUGUCUAUCUUGUCUAGAAUUGAACCAUCCAAUCCGGUCUAAGGAAUACAGAGCAUGAUCUAUACUCGAGACGGAUUCUUUCUUUGUUUUCCCUAAACAUCUAUAUAUAGCUUCACAAAACAGGAUAAGGAUGGGUCUUUCUCACUAUCUUCAAUUCAUUCAAACUGAGAGCGGAAGAGAUAGGGUAUGGGAAUGCUUCAUGUGUUGAGUCAAAACUGGCUCACAUGAUGAGAUUUUGUACCCAGCAAUUUGCAAGAGCAUGGAAGUCAUGACUCAUUUGGCAAGAUCUUGACUGAACAACUUGGACUUUGUGGCCUAAUUUUCUCAGGAAAGCUGCUGAGAUGGCGUUGGAUAUCACUAAUGACAGGUUCAUAAUAUAUUCUUCAAACCCUAAUCCCAAUUUGGUUGGCAAAAACCUAGGUGGGAGCAGCCACGCCCAAUUUUUAUAAAGAAAAGGCUGCAAGGAGAAAAGGAAAUUGGGCCCGUGACAUUGUCUAUAAGGUCCAUUUACUUGAUUAUUCUGGCUGCAGUACUACAUAUCGUAUGCUAGAGUUACGAGUACUACUUUCAAACACUUGGGCCGCAAGAUGAAGUGAACAGAAAUUCCAUGGCUCAUAGCUCACAAACAUGUCUUCAAUUUUCGAGUCCAAGUACUGUUUCCCUCAUUUUCAAUGAAGCUUUAGCGUGGGGGAAAAGGAGCAACCUCGGAUUAAUAAUUUCAAAAGUUAAAAUUUGGCUAAUAUAUUAUUUUUUUAAUCACUCAAGACUUGAACUCCAUGAUUAGCCAUUUCACUCUUUAUAAUAAUAAAAUAAUUUUUUUAAUGUAUUUUUGUUUUUUUUUUUUAAAUACAUUUUUAUUUUCAAUUUCAUAAUCUCCAUCAACCUCUAACAAUCAUUUGACCUCGUAGCAAGUCAUAUUUGUCUUCGGGUUUGGCUUUACUGUAACUCAUGGACUAGAUGGCUUCGGCUUGGCUAAUCCAAUGUAGUGUGAUUUUGGAGUUUAAUAAACUAUGAGAAGGUGUACAUCGGUA